rnacentral:tRNA from 2 species
AGAGAGGUGGCCGAGUGGUCGAAGGCGCACGCCUGGAAAGUGUGUAUACUCCACAAGGGUAUCGAGGGUUCGAAUCCCUUCCUCUCUGCAA